AUGAAAACAAGUGCCCCCGUGGUUUGUGGGCAGGGACCAAGGAUUGAUCGUCGUUCCAUAAAACCUUUUAAGAUGACAAGAUCCAAGGAUAUUCAGCUUCACCAUCUACCUACAGAUGUACUGCAUCGUAUACUAUCACAAUUGACAAUGAAAGAAGCCAUGCGAAUGAGCAUACUAUCUAAGAAGUGGAGAAGGCUUUGGAAAUGCUACCCAAAGUUAGUAUUCACCAGAGCCAUGAUGUGUCGCAGUAACGCCACGACAGGCCCUGCAAAACCCUUGCGGACAAGGUUUAUCAGGGGGGUCAACAGCAUCCAGCGACAGCUCAAGUCAUCCAACCUGAAUAAGUUUGUGGUCAAGUUUGCGCUUCGCAAAAGGCACACACCUCACAUUGAUAGAUGGGUCAAUUUCUGUGCCUCGUCGAUGGCGAAGCAUGUUGUUCUCGAUUUAUGUCCAGGGCCGAAAGGCAGUACCGACACAGAUGACAAGUACAGUUUCCCGCUGCAUCUUCUCGGCGCCUCGGGUGGUUCUUGCGUGAAGUCUCUUAGUCUGGGGUUCGUCUAUUUAGCACUGCCUCCUGAUCACCGUGGAUUUGCAAACCUUAAGAAGCUCUCUCUGGAAAUAGUUCAUGUCACAGGGGAUCUCGGGCGCCUGCUCCCAAAAUGCGCUGUUCUUGAGUGGCUAAGCCUCACCAGGUGUAGACUGGACGAGCUAAGCAUAGGUGAGGAACUGAGCAGGCUCCGUUGUUUGCAGGUCAAGUACUGUAUGCUGCAGAAGCUGCAUGUCCGAGCUCCAAACCUCGCCAUGUUUGUGUUCGCUGGUCGUGUGAUACCUAUAUUGCUUGGUGAAUCUGUGAAGAUUUCAGAGGCGACGGUCGACUUGGUCACAUCCUCGGACUGCUUCAAUUACGUCUUCACUGAUCUUGUCGAUGCUCUUUCGCAUGUUCCGUCCCUCUCCAUAGGCUUCCGAAUUGAAACCAAGGUGAUAAAUUUUGUGAAAAAUCGGACCAUGCUCACAAAUCUGAGACGUCUGGUCCUGAAAAUCGAUAUUGUUGGGUCGCCGGAAGUCACUGGUGGGAUUCUUCGUUUGGCCUAUCUGUUGGAGUUAGCCCCUGCUUUGGAAGAGUUAGUACUCCAUAUGCAUUGUUUUGACUCGGCAAUCUAUGGUGAACCAAGAGAAGAUGCCUACCAGCCACAUCCUCACCGUCAUCUCAAGACUAUCAAAAUGACGGGGUUCUAUGGAUUACUUGGUCAGGUUGAGCUAGCACUCUACCUUCUUCGGAAUGCGACUUCUCUCGAGCGUAUGAUCAUAGAUCCGGUGGUGAGGAAUAAUUGGCCUAUUCCACCCAUGGGUGGAGCAAAGCAAGAUAUAGACCGGGGCACGUCGAUUGCCCUCAAUAAACUUUCGAGGCAAGAGUUCAGAAAGGUCCUUGACAUUCUGUAUUAA
rnacentral:rRNA from 1 species